rnacentral:tRNA from 1 species
ACGGGAGUGGCGAAAUCCGGUAGACGCACCAGAUUUAGAUUCUGGCACUGUAAGGUAUGCGAGUUCAAAUCUCGCCUCCCGUA